UUCCCCAACCUCCUAAAACAACAAUGGCACGCAAUCAAUUGCUUAAUUUCCGAAAUUAUGGUUUCUUCCUUUAAAUUUUUUCACAUUUGAGACAAAAGGGUAUGCUUUUUUUUUAUUAUUAUGGUGCAAAACUACUCAUCUCGAAACUUUAGUUGGGUUGAGUAAAUUGGACCAUUUUAUUGACAAUUAUAGAGAGGCUAAAGAUGUGGGUUGUUGAUAUUGCCAAAUUUGGAAUACUGGGUUUCAAUGUUUCAAGCAGUUUGGGAUUUCAGUUUAUAGGUUGUGGUCCUCAGCGACUCUGAGAUCAGAGAGCCAAUCCUGAUCCAUCCCUGUAGAGAUGCAGAAUUUCUGUCUCUCUGAUUCUGAAGAAGUCGAUAUGUCCGAGUGGUUAAGGAGACAGACUUGAAAUCUGUUGGGCUUCGCCCGCGCAGUUUUGUAGAUUGUGGCAGCCUAAGGGACUCCGAGGGACAAUUCUGAUCCAUGCUGGCAGAGAUGUGAAAUUUAUGUCUCUUUGAAUCUGAAGAAGUCGAUAUGUCCGAGUGGUUAAGGAGACAGACUUGAAAUCUGUUGGGCUUUGCCCGCGCAGAAAUCGUCGACAUGUCCGAGUGGUUAAGGAGACAGACUUGAAAUCUGUUGGGCUUUGCCCGCGCAGGUUCGAACCCUGCUGUCGACGUCUUUGUGGUUUGCGCUUUUUCUCUAUGACACAAACAUCAUGUUGAUCAGCUUAGGCCUUAAGACUGCAUGCGUAGGAUCUAACUGGCUGGAGAUAACAGUGAAAAAUCUUCUUGUUUUGCUCAAGGGGAUGGAUCAUGGAAGAUGAGAGAGUGCAGGAAGGAUGUGUGUGAUAAUUGGCACUCCAUAUUUCUGUAUAUGAUGUAAAAGGGAGAAGUCCCACAUCAGUCACUCGAGAAGCUAAUUGCACAUAUAUUGUCCAAAGAAAGCGGUUAAAUGAGUACGACCUUACUUGAACAGGAUCUGUUCUAUAGGAUCGUACCUCUGUAUCCUUGAGUUCUAAGGAGACAGGAAACUAAGUCUGGUGGAUGAAUUAUGACCAUGUGAUCAGAGCGUGAUUAACAGCAACCAAUUGUUCUUCGGAUCCUUGGUGCAGUAGAGGAUCGUUCCCCAGCUCCUCUGCAUUUGUUAAUCUACUGGAAUACCAGAACACCAAAUUGCAGUUAGUGCACGCUGGAAAACGAUUCAGUAGAGGUCCAAGCGCGCCAGAAAAUGCUUCUCAACAUAGCUAAUCGUUGCAUGCAACAACUAAUCAGAGACAAGUCUGUAAGAUUUUAGUGUUUAUAUUUGCUUUUGUUGUCUGAACAUCAACAAAUAUAUGAGGUUGCUCAUAAAA